GUGGACGUAGCUCAGUUGGUAGAGUCCCGGCUUGUGAUGCCGGUUGUCGCGGGUUCGAGCCCCGUCGUUCACCCCA
rnacentral:tRNA from 1 species